GAUACGUAUGACUACUGCACCCCCAAUCCUUGUGCACAUGGAUCUUGUUCAAACACUGGUAGUGGUUAUAGUUGUUCUUGUCAUUCUGGAUAUUCAGGGUCAGAUUGUGAUAUCUAUGAUCAUUGCAGCUCUAGUCCAUGUGCAUAUGGAUCUUGUAAAAGCACCGGAAGUGGUUAUAGUUGUUCAUGUUACACCGGAUAUUUAGGGACAAACUGUGAUGAAAACCCAUGCAGUGUAAAUCCAUGUGUGCAUGGAACUUGCAUAAGCAGUGGCUCUGGUGGCUACACCUGUACUUGCAAAACUGGUUAUUAUGGAACAAAUUGUG